UACGGGGGGAGCAAGCGUUGUUCGGAAUCAUUGGGCGUAAAGCGCGCGUAGGUGGCCAUUUAAGUCCGCUGUGAAAGUCAGAGGCUCAACCUUUGAAAGCCGGUGGAUACUGGAUGGCUAGAGUACGGAAGAGGCGAGUGGAAUUCCUGGUGUAGCGGUGGAAUGCGCAGAUAUCAGGAGGAACACCAAUAGCGAAGGCAGCUCUCUGGUACGUGACUGACGCUGAGACGCGAAAGCGUGGGGAGCGAACAGG
rnacentral:rRNA from 1 species